rnacentral:rRNA from 1 species
AGUCGGACGGUAACAGGGGAGCUUGCUCCCGCUGACGAGUGGCGGACGGGUGAGUAAUGCAUGGGAAUUUGCCCUUUAGUUGGGGAUACCGUAUGGAAACGUACGUUAAUACCGAAUGAGAUCUACGGAUGAAAGGUGCCCUCUUCUUGAAAGGUAUCGCUAAAGGAUGAGCCCAUGUUAGAUUAGCUAGUUGGUGAGGUAAUGGCUCACCAAGGCAUCGAUCUAUAGCUGGUUUGAGAGGAUGAUCAGCCACACUGGGACUGAGACACGGCCCAGACUCCUACGGGAGGCAGCAGUGGGGAAUAUUGCACAAUGGAGGAAACUCUGAUGCAGCCAUGCCGCGUGUGUGAAGAAGGCCCGAGGGUUGUAAAGCACUUUUAGUGAGGAGGAAAGGUUAGUCGCUAAUAUCGGCUAACUGUGACGUUACUCACAGAAAAAGCACCGGCUAACUCUGUGCCAGCAGCCGCGGUAAUACAGAGGGUGCAAGCGUUAUUCGGAAUUACUGGGCGUAAAGCGCGCGUAGGCGGAUUGUUAAGUCAGUUGUGAAAGCCCUGGGCUCAACCUAGGAACGGCGAUUGAAACUGGCAGUCUAGAGUUUAGUAGAGGGAAGGGGAAUUUCUGGAGUAGCAGUGAAAUGCGUAGAUAUCAGAAAGGAACAUCAGUGGCGAAAGCGCCUUCCUGGACUAAAACUGACGCUGAGUGCGAAAGCGUGGGGAGCAAACGGGAUUAGAUACCCCGGGUAGUCCACGCCCUAACGAUGUCAACUAGCUGUUGGUCUUAUUAAAAGAUUAGUAGCGCAGCUAACGCGAUAGUGACGCUGGGGAGUACGGUCGCAAGAUUAAACUCAAGGAAUUGACGGGGCCCGCACAAG